GCCACACUGGGACUGAGACACGGCCCAGACUCCUACGGGAGGCAGCAGUGGGGAAUAUUGCACAAUGGGCGCAAGCCUGAUGCAGCGACGCCGCGUGAGGGAUGACGGCCUUCGGGUUGUAAACCUCUUUCAGUAGGGAAGAAGCGAAAGUGACGGUACCUGCAGAAGAAGCGCCGGCUAACUACGUGCCAGCAGCCGCGGUAAUACGUAGGGCGCAAGCGUUAUCCGGAAUUAUUGGGCGUAAAGAGCUCGUAGGCGGUUUGUCGCGUCUGCUGUGAAAGACCGGGGCUCAACUCCGGUUCUGCAGUGGGUACGGGCAGACUAGAGUGCAGUAGGGGAGACUGGAAUUCCUGGUGUAGCGGUGAAAUGCGCAGAUAUCAGGAGGAACACCGAUGGCGAAGGCAGGUCUCUGGGCUGUAACUGACGCUGAGGAGCGAAAGCAUGGGGAGCGAACAGGAUUAGAUACCCUGGUAGUCC
rnacentral:rRNA from 2 species